GACGAACGCUGGCGGCGUGCUUAACACAUGCAAGUCGAACGGACAGGCCCUGCUUUUGUGGGGUGCUCGAGUGGCGAACGGGUGAGUAACACGUGAGUAACCUGCACUUGACUUUGGGAUAACUUCAGGAAAAUGGGGCUAAUACCGGAGAGGAGCUCCUGCUGCAUGAUGGGGGUUGGAAAGUUUCGGCGGUUGGGUAUGGACUCGCUGGUUCUCCGCUUGUUGGUGGGGUAGUGGCUUACCAAGGUUUUGAAGGGUAGCCCGCAUGGGAGGGGGACCGGCCACAAUGCGACUGAGGUACGGCCCAGUCGCCUACGGGACGCAGCAGUGGGGAAUCUGGCACAAUGGGCGGAAGCCUGAGGCAGCAACGCCGCGUGCGGGAUGACGGCCUUCGGGUGGUAAACCGCUUUCGCCUGUGACGAAGCGUGAGUGACGGUAAUGGGUAAAGAAGCACCGGCUAACUACGUG
rnacentral:rRNA from 1 species